rnacentral:ncRNA from 2 species
AUGAAAGAUACGGGAGAGUCUGCAUGAGAAUGCAGCGCCGAAGGAAUAAACAGAUAUUUAGCCAUAAUAUCCGUGAUGAUCUCAGGUAAAAUGGACCGUAACUGGACA